rnacentral:rRNA from 1 species
UACGGGGGGAGCAAGCGUUGUUCGGAUUUACGUGGCGAUGAAGGCGCGGUAGGCGGUCGUGACAAGUCACUUGUGAAAUCUCCGGGCUUAACUCGGAACGGUCAAGUGAUACUGUCGGACUAGAGUACAGAAGGGGCAACUGGAAUUCUCGGUGUAGCGGUGAAAUGCGUAGAUAUCGAGAGGAACACCUGCGGCGAAGGCGGGUUGCUGGGCUGAUACUGACGCUGAGGCGCGAAAGCCAGGGGAGCGAACGGG